GCUCAUAGUACGGCAGCGAUGGCACGUCCAAUCAAAAGACUUGGAUUCUAUUUGUUUCGUUUCAAGGGAUCAUGAUGAAGGUCUUCUUCAAGACCUCACUGAAGUGGACGGAUCGGGGAGAGCGUGCUUUCAUGACAAUGUCAUCGGCGGGACUUUUCCAUGUGAGCAGGACGUCUCUGCAUCUCAGAAGCAGCAGAAUUCAGAUCGACCGGCCCGUCAUCAUCAUCAUCAUCAUCAUCAGAAAACCAAACUCUGCAGUUCUGCAGUGAAACUCUGAACCGACGGGACGCUGAUAGAAACGGAUCAAGAACAUCAGGGUUUAGGGUGAGAAAACGUGAACAAAUCCCAUUGAACGGAAUGACCGUUUCUAC
ensembl:lncRNA